GGUAGUGAUAGCGGUUUACUGAUGGUGGUGGUGGUAGUAGUAGUAGUAAUGGCGAUGGUAGUGAUAUUAGUUUAGUGACAGUGGCAGGAAUAGUAGUGAUGUUGGUAUUCAUAGCAGUUUAGUGAUGGUGGUAGUAGUAGUAAUGAUGAUGGUAGUGAUAGCAGUUUAGUGAUGGUGGUGGUAGUAGUAGUAAUGAUUAUGGUAGUGAUAGCAGUUUAGUGAUGGUGGUGGUGGUAGUAUUAGUAGUAAUGAUGAUGGUAGUGAUACUAGUUUAGUGACGGUGAAGGUAAUAGUAAUGAUGAUUGUAGUGACACCAGUUUAGUGGUGGUGGUAGUGAUAGCGGUUAAGUGAUGGUGGUGGUAGUAGCAGUAAUGAUGAUGGUAGUGAUAGCAGUUUAGUGAUGGUGGUGGUAGUAGUAGUAAUGAUGAUGGUAGUGAUAGCAGUUUAGUGAUGGUGAUGGUAGUAGUAGUAAUGAUGAUGGUAGUGACAGCAGUUUAGUUAUGGUCAUGGUAGUAGAUGUAAUGAUGAUGGUAGUGAUAGCAGUUUAGUGACGGUAGUAGCAGUAGUAAUGAUGAUGGUAGUUAUAGCAGUUUAGUGAUGGUGCUGUUGGAAGUAGUAGUAAUGAUGAUGGUAGUGAUAGCAGUUUAGUGAUGGUUGUGGUAGUAGUAGUAAUGAUGAUGGUAGUGAUAGCCGUUUAGUG
rnacentral:lncRNA from 1 species